GCCAUCGGGCGGGGGGGGGGUCAUCCGUGCCCCCCAGACUCGCUCUCCCCUGCACUCCUGCUCCCCGGGGCCCGCGGAGGAAACGCUGAUCGCGCCGCGCGGGCUGAGUACCUUUGGUGGCUCUGUACCCCGCUGGGAUCCAUACGUGACGUUCGAGAGCCAAGUGAUCAAGAGACACGACGGACUUCAUGCUCCGAGUGGGCUCCAUCUUCUGGAUGACGACUUCUUCGCGAAGGAACUGGUACAAGAUUGGGAAGGAGCCACUCUCGGCUUUACAGAGUGAACACGUGUCCUGAGAAGACUCGGAAAGCAGAAAUGCAAGUACAGAUCCCUUCCCGCCUCGCGGCCCAGAUGUGGACGUGCACGUGUCGGGUGCCCUUUUCCGUGGGCACGUAUGUGAGAGUCUGCCGUGCUCUCUUUGUGAAACUGCAGCAAUGUUUGUGUCUUUGACAACCUGCUCUGCUAUGAACCCUUCUCUAGGCCGUCAGUCUCGCUACCGAACCUGGCUGCUAACGGCUGCAAAGUUUCCCUUCAGUGCGAUGCCAUGUAAUUUACUUAAUGAGCUUGCUUUUCUUGACCGUUCAGCGUCCUUCAGUUUGGGGGGAGUAUGUCUAUGAUUCCAGUAGGUAAAUCCUUUUUUUUUUUUUUUUUUAAUAUUUAUUUUUGAAGCAGAGAGAGACAGAGUGUGAGCGGGGGAGGACCCGAGAGAGAGGGAGACGCAGAAUCCGAAGCAGGCUCCAGGCUCCCAGCUGUCAGCACAGAGCCCGACGCAGGGCUCGAACCCACGAACCGUAAGAUCAUGACCUGAACUGAAGUCGGCGGCUUAACUGCCUGAGCCACCCAGGUGCCCCUCCAGUAGGUAAAUUCUUAAGAGGGGAAUUGCCAGCUCAGAGAGGAUAAGCAUCUUAUUUUCUCCUUGUUACCAUACUGCUUCCUUGUUCAUGAAAUCAGAGAACAUCAUAACCUGCUUCGAAUUCAAACAGGUGGCUUUAUUUAUUCUUUCUGGGGUGCCUGGGUGGCUCAGUCAGUUAAGCAUCAGACUCCCGAUCUCACUCAGGUCGUGAUCUCACGGUUGGUGAGAUCGAGCCCUGUGUUGGGCUCUGUGCUGGCGGGGCAGAGCCUGCUUGGGAUUCUCUCUCUUUUUCUUUUUAAUUCAGAAGGAAAUUACACCAAAAUAAAUCAGAAUCUCUUUACAUAAAAAAACAAAAACCAAAAACAGGUGGCUUUAGGACACAGGGAAAAAGAGAAAUGUUUCUUCUUUUUUUCUUGUUGUCUGUAUACAUUAUACCCUUGCACAACAUGGGGGUAGGGCACCGACCCCCCCAUGCAGUGGAAAAUCUGAGUAUUAUGCAUUUUGUGACAUUAACAUGUAUUUUGCGUGUUCUCUGUAUCAUAGACCGUAUUGUUGUAAGGAAGUAAACUGGAGGGAAAUGUUAUUAAGAAAGUCUUCAGGAAGAGAAAAUACAUUUACAGUCCUGUCCUGUAGAAAGUCUGCUGGGAAGGGGACCCAUGCAUUUCAACCCCGUGGCAUUCAUGGGUCAGCUGUACCUCUGUCUGUCUGCCUAUCCAUCUGAAAAAUCCUCAUGCUGCUUAUUAUUCAAAAUAAAUUUUAUAAGUUUGAAACUACACGUGUGGGGUGCCUGGGUGGCUCAGUCAGCUGAGCGUCCAACUUCAGCCCAGGUUGUGAUCUCACAGUUUGUGAGUUCAGGCCCUGUGUCGGUCUCUGUGCUGACAGCUCAGAGCCCGGAUCCUGCUUCGGAUUCUGUGUCUCCCUCUCUCUCUGCCCCUCCCCUGCUCUCACUCUGUCUCGCUUUCAAAAAUAAAAAAUAAAACAUUAAAAAAAUUAAAAAAACCAAAACUAUACGUAGAUUCAGAAACCAUUCAAAUAAUUUGCUUCUCCAAUUUUCUUUGACCUGAGCAACAAAUCUCAGGGUCUCAUCUGUAUAGAUUAUUAUCCCGUAAAUAUAGGCAGCUUCUGGGUAACUGUGUGGUUUCUAAAGAAACUGUGGUUUCUUUGUGUUCUUUCCUUUUUUUCUCACCUGAAGAAAAGGUCAAGCUCACAUGGUCACUUGGGAGCGAGUCCUGGGUCUGGCAUCUGUACUGUCCGGAGUCAUGGACCUCCAGGGUGUUUCUUGGGGUUUCGCGUAGCAUUCUACCCUCGAGGUACCAAAGGAACCGUUUUAUUUUCUCUGGAGCGUGGAAGUGAAAUACAUUGCAAGUCAGGGUCACUGUCUCUCCUCUGAAGGCGACGGUCCAUGGAGGAUGGAGGGAAAUCACGGGUUUGGAUGCAGCUUCUGAGGAAGAGAGAGACAGAGCCUGAGAUGGGGACGCCUGUGGUCCCCGCCACGGCCGUCUGCGUGGGACGGACCCGAGGACCAGGCUUGGGGGAGAUCCCCAGGAAAGCCCCCCGGGAGGGUCAGUGGUUGCUCACGGCUGUUUGUGGACUGGAGCCCCCAGGGGAUGGCAACGAGGGAAAUGAUUUCACGCCGACAGUAUAAGCAGCGGGGUUCAUCGCCGAAUGUCAGUGGGAUCAAUGGCCAGUUGGCUUUUACGGGCGCUAGAGAAGGCCGCCCCUGCCCUCCUGCUUCAUCACGUCCACCGACUCAUGGGGACCUCCCAGGGAGCUGUGCACGUCACAGGUGUGCACUUUCUCUCACGGGAUAAAUCCUAUUUUCCGAAGGCUUUGGCACUGAGUAAAGCUUGAGAGAUUAACUUGUCUAGCACCUUCGUGUCACAGAUGAUGUUUCAGAUGCCCCGAGACUCUUGUCACAGCUGAUUGUGGCAGAGCAAGGAACAGACAGGUCGUUUGCUGGAAUCCAGAAGUGAGCCAGACAAGGAUGAAAUCCCGGGGCAGCUGAUUUCGGGCAAGGAGAGAGGUUGUAUUGCCGUUCGCGAAUCCUCAAAUAUCCAGGACAUUCUCUGACCCAGGGGAAUGGUGGUGGGAGUCAGAACUAAGAAAAUGUGUGACACAGAUAAUAUGUCUUCUCCCCCAAUUCCUAUUUUGGGUGCAUUUCUUCUUUUUGAGGGCCUGGUUGCUGGAUGUUUUUCUGGAGGAGGAACAUUUCCUGCAGGAUUCUACUUCUAAACGUGUAGAGAACGUAGUAUUCCUGCUCGUGUCUUCACAGUGCGAUGCUUACAGAGACGUUUUUCGAGCUUGCUGAUGGGAGAAAACCUUAUCCCAAGCCCUGCACGUUUGCCGUGGAGUUGAGGACGUCCUGCAUGGUCAAGGAGACAUUCUUAUCCAGGGACACCCAAAGAGCAAAAGAGACGAGAACUCACCAGAUUUUCCACGGACAGGAGCUGCAAAAUAAAUAAAUU